rnacentral:rRNA from 1 species
CAUGCAAGUCGAACGAUGAAGCCCUUCGGGGUGGAUUAGUGGCGAACGGGUGAGUAACACGUGGGCAAUCUGCCCUUCACUCUGGGACAAGCCCUGGAAACGGGGUCUAAUACCGGAUAACACUCUGUCCCGCAUGGGACGGGGUUAAAAGCUCCGGCGGUGAAGGAUGAGCCCGCGGCCUAUCAGCUUGUUGGUGGGGUAAUGGCCUACCAAGGCGACGACGGGUAGCCGGCCUGAGAGGGCGACCGGCCACACUGGGACUGAGACACGGCCCAGACUCCUACGGGAGGCAGCAGUGGGGAAUAUUGCACAAUGGGCGAAAGCCUGAUGCAGCGACGCCGCGUGAGGGAUGACGGCCUUCGGGUUGUAAACCUCUUUCAGCAGGGAAGAAGCGAAAGUGACGGUACCUGCAGAAGAAGCGCCGGCUAACUACGUGCCAGCAGCCGCGGUAAUACGUAGGGCGCAAGCGUUGUCCGGAAUUAUUGGGCGUAAAGAGCUCGUAGGCGGCUUGUCACGUCGGAUGUGAAAGCCCGGGGCUUAACCCCGGGUCUGCAUUCGAUACGGGCUAGCUAGAGUGUGGUAGGGGAGAUCGGAAUUCCUGGUGUAGCGGUGAAAUGCGCAGAUAUCAGGAGGAACACCGGUGGCGAAGGCGGAUCUCUGGGCCAUUACUGACGCUGAGGAGCGAAAGCGUGGGGGAGCGAACAGGAUUAGAU